rnacentral:rRNA from 1 species
UGGGGAAUAUUGCGCAAUGGGCGAAAGCCUGACGCAGCGACGCCGCGUGAGGGAUGACGGCCUUCGGGUUGUAAACCUCUUUCAGCAGGGACGAAGCGAAAGUGACGGUACCUGCAGAAGAAGCACCGGCCAACUACGUGCCAGCAGCCGCGGUAACACGUAGGGUGCGAGCGUUGUCCGGAAUUAUUGGGCGUAAAGAGCUUGUAGGCGGCUUGUCACGUCGGCUGUGAAAACCCGGGCUCAACCUCGGGCCUGCAGUCGAUACGGGCUAGCUAGAGUAUGGUAGGGGAGACUGGAAUACCAGGUGUAGCGGUGGAAUGCGCAGAUAUCUGGUGGAACACCGGUGGCGAAGGCGGGUCUCUGGGCCAUUACUGACGCUGAGAAGCGAAAGCGUGGGGAGCGAACAGGAUUAGAUACCCUGGUAGUCCACGCCGUAAACGUUGGGCGCUAGGUGUGGGGACCAUUCCACGGUUUCCGUGCCGCAGCUAACGCAUUAAGCGCCCCGCCUGGGGAGUAC